UACGUAGGGGGCGAGCGUUGUCCGGAUUUAUUGGGCGUAAAGAGCUCGUAGGCGGCUGUUCGAGUCGGGUGUGAAAUCCUGAGGCUUAACCUUGGGUCUGCAUUCGAUACUGGGCGGCUUGAGUCUGGUAGGGGGAUCUGGAAUUCCUGGUGUAGCGGUGGAAUGCGCAGAUAUCAGGAAGAACACCCGUGGCGAAGGCGGCUCUCUGGGACGGUACUGACGCUGAGACGCGAAAGCGUGGGGAGCGAACAGG
rnacentral:rRNA from 1 species